rnacentral:rRNA from 1 species
AGCGAACGCUGGCGGCAGGCUUAACACAUGCAAGUCGAACGGGCUUCUUCGGAAGUCAGUGGCAGACGGGUGCGUAACACGUGGGAACGUGCCCUUCGGUUCGGAAUAACUCAGGGAAACUUGAGCUAAUACCGGAUACGCCCUUUUGGGGAAAGGUUUACUGCCGAAGGAUCGGCCCGCGUCUGAUUAGCUUGUUGGUGGGGUAACGGCCUACCAAGGCGACGAUCAGUAGCUGGUCUGAGAGGAUGAUCAGCCACACUGGGACUGAGACACGGCCCAGACUCCUACGGGAGGCAGCAGUGGGGAAUAUUGGACAAUGGGCGCAAGCCUGAUCCAGCCAUGCCGCGUGAGUGAUGAAGGCCUUAGGGCUGUAAAGCUCUUUUGUCCGGGACGAUAAUGACGGUACCGGAAGAAUAAGCCCCGGCUAACUUCGUG